UACAGAGGGUGCGAGCGUUAAUCGGAAUUACUGGGCGUAAAGCGCACGUAGGUGGCGACGUAAGUCGGGUGUGAAAGCCCCGGGCUCAACCUGGGAAUUGCAUUCGAGACUGCAUUGCUGGAGUACGGAAGAGGAAGGCGGAAUUCCCGGUGUAGCGGUGAAAUGCGUAGAUAUCAGGAGGAACACCGAUAGCGAAGGCAGCUCGCUGGGACGGUACUGACGCUGAGGCGCGAAAGCGUGGGGAGCGAACAGG
rnacentral:rRNA from 1 species